rnacentral:rRNA from 1 species
AAAGGAAUAGACGGGGACCCGCACAAGCAGCGGAGCAUGUGGUUUAAUUCGAAGCAACGCGAAAAACCUUACCAAGACUUGACAUCGUAUGACCGUCAUAGAAAUAUGAUUUUCCCUUCGGGGACAUAUAGACAGGUGGUGCAUGGUUGUCGUCAGCUCGUGUCGUGAGAUGUUGGGUUAAGUCCCGCAACGAGCGCAACCCCUAUGAUUAGUUGCCAAUAUUAAGUUAGGAACUCUAAUUAGACUGCCGUGGAUAACACGGAGGAAGGUGGGGACGACGUCAAAUCAUCAUGCCCCUUACGUCUUGGGCUACACACGUGCUACAAUGGCUAUUACAAAGAGCAGCGAACUGGCAACAGCAAGCGAAUCUCAAAAAGAUAGUCUCAGUUCAGAUUGUGGGCUGCAACCCGCCCACAUGAAGUAGGAGUUGCUAGUAAUCCCGAAUCAGCAUGUCGGGGUGAAUGCGUUCCCGGGUCUUGUACACACCGCCCGU